UUGUAUGAGACGCGGCUUACCUCCUCCCAGCGUCUACGUGGCGGCAUCCUCCUCCCGUCGCCACGCGUCAUAAAAGGCGUCUGCUGGAUCUCCUCCCCCGGCAGACGCCUUAU
rnacentral:sRNA from 1 species